GUCCUUUCCCGGGAGUUAGCGAUCCCUCAAGCCCUGCACUACGCUAGUCCCAAAGAGGAAAUGUCUCUACGCUGCGGGGAUGCAGCCCGCACCCUGGGGCCCCGGGUAUUUGGGAGAUAUUUUUGCAGCCCAGUCAGACCAUUAAGUUCCUUGCCAGAUAAAAAAAAGGAACUCUUACAGAAUGGACCAGACCUUCAAGAUUUUCUAUCUGGUGAUCUUGCAGACAGGAGCACCUGGGAUGAAUAUAAAGGAAACCUAAAACGCCAGAAAGGAGAAAGGUUAAGACUACCUCCAUGGCUAAAGACAGAGAUUCCCAUGGGGAAAAAUUACAAUAAACUGAAAAAUACUUUGCGGAAUUUAAAUCUCCAUACAGUAUGUGAGGAAGCUCGAUGUCCCAAUAUUGGAGAGUGUUGGGGAGGUGGAGAAUAUGCCACCGCCACAGCCACGAUCAUGUUGAUGGGUGACACAUGUACAAGAGGUUGCAGAUUUUGUUCUGUUAAGACUGCAAGAAAUCCUCCUCCACUGGAUGCCAGUGAGCCCUACAAUACUGCAAAGGCAAUUGCAGAAUGGGGUCUGGAUUAUGUUGUCCUGACAUCUGUGGAUCGAGAUGAUAUGCCUGAUGGGGGAGCUGAACACAUUGCAAAGACUGUAUCAUAUUUAAAGGAAAGGAAUCCAAAAAUCCUUGUGGAAUGUCUUACUCCUGAUUUUCGAGGUGAUCUCAAAGCAAUAGAAAAAGUUGCUCUGUCAGGAUUAGAUGUGUAUGCACAUAAUGUAGAAACAGUCCCGGAAUUACAGAGGUGAAUACGUGUACAAAGUAAUGUUGGGAAGUUAGGUGGGUCAAAAUAUGCCAUAUAUUCUUACCUUUUCCAGGGGUGAACUUUGCCAUUGACUUUUACAAAGUAAACUCGAUUCUUUUUUGUUUUUUAGGCAAACUCAAUCUAUGUCUGUUACAUAAAAAUCAGAAAAUAUCACCAACAAAAACAGCAUAAAUAUCACCCAUAAUAGUAUUUCCACCCAGCAAUAUCAGUUACUAACACCUUAGUGUUUAUAUUAUAAACACUAUAUUUAUACUACAUAUUUGUAUUUUUAUAUUUAUAAUAUACUUAAUUUUUAUAUUACAAACAUUAAGAUGUUAGUAACUCAUAUUACUAACAGUUACUGUGUGUGUUUUAAUACCCACAAAUAAUGAACAUCUUUUUUUCUUUUGUUUUAAAAUAAUAUCAUACUGCAAAUUUCAAUGAGUUGUUUGUUUCCCCCUCCCCACAAAAAAAGUUUUCAAAGGAGGGAAAAAAUUACACUAGAGCAAUUGCUUUGGUUGUAAUUCUAAAGAAAAGACUUCAAAAAUAUAUUUGGCUGGACGCUGUGGCUCACGCCUGUAAUCCCAGCACUUUGGGAGGCAGAGGCAGGCAGAUCACCUGAGGUUGGGAGUUCGAGACCAGCCUGACCAACAUGGAGAAACCCCGUCUCUACUAAAAAUACAAGAUAGCCAGGCGUGGUGGCACAUGCCUGUAAUCCCGGCUACUCAGUAGGCUGAAGCAAGAGAAGAAUCACUUGAACUCGGGAGGCAGAGGUUGCAGUGAGUAAGGUUCGUGAUCCUCGGGCCAAUUUUGAUCAGUCCCUACGUGUACUGAAACAUGCCAAGAAGGUUCAGCCUGAUGUUAUUUCUAAAACAUCUAUAAUGUUGGGUUUAGGCGAGAAUGAUGAGCAAGUAUAUGCAACAAUGAAAGCACUUCGUGAGGCAGAUGUAGACUGCUUGACUUUAGGACAAUAUAUGCAGCCAACAAGGCGUCACCUUAAGGUUGAAGAAUAUAUUACUCCCGAAAAAUUCAAAUACUGGGAAAAAGUAGGAAAUGAACUUGGAUUUCAUUAUACUGCAAGUGGCCCUUUGGUGCGUUCUUCAUAUAAGGCAGGUGAAUUUUUCCUGAAAAAUCUAGUGGCUAAAAGAAAAACAAAAGCCCUCUAAAACUUCAACAAGACCUUCAAGACCACAGAAAUUUUUAAAAUUUGAUUCCAGUUAAUAACAGAGGUGGUGCCAGAAUGCCUGGACUGCAGUGGAUGUACCCUACCUCUUUGCUUAAAAAAAAAAAAAAGUCAAUACCCAGGCAUAGUGGCUCAUGCCUGUAAUCCCAGCACUUUAGGAGGCCAAGGCGGGUGGAUCACCUGAGGUCAGGAGUUCGAGACCCUCCUGGCCAACAUGGUGAAACCCUGUCUCCACUAAAAACACAAAAAUUACGCAGGUGUGGUAGUGGGCGCCUGUAAUCCCA
rnacentral:sRNA from 1 species